GCUGGGUGCAGUGGUACAUCCUGUAGUCCCAGCAUUCAGGAGGCUGAGGCAGGAGGGUCACUUGAGCCCAGGAGUUUGAGAUAAGCCUAGGCAAAGGAGAGACCUCUUCUCAA
rnacentral:sRNA from 1 species